rnacentral:rRNA from 1 species
UACGGGGGAUGCGAGCGUUAUCCGGAUUUAUUGGGUUUAAAGGGUGCGUAGGCGGGCUUUUAAGUCAGCGGUGAAAGUCUGUGGCUCAACCAUAGAAUUGCCGUUGAAACUGGGGGGCUUGAGUAUGUUUGAGGCAGGCGGAAUGCGUGGUGUAGCGGUGAAAUGCGUAGAUAUACGGAGGAACACCAGUGGCGAAGGCGGAUUGCUGGACAGUAACUGACGCUGAGGCGCGAAAGCGUGGGGAGCAAACAGG